AGGACGACGCUGGCGGCGUGCCUAACACAUGCAAGUCGAACGGGGAUUUGUUUCGGCAGAAUCCUAGUGGCGAACGGGUGAGUAACGCGUAGGCAACCUGCCCUCCGGCCGGGGACAACACUCCGAAAGGGGUGCUAAUACCGGAUACGAAGUCUGUGCCGCAUGGUACGGAUUUGAAAGAUGGCCUCUAUUUAUAAGCUAUCGCCGGGGGAUGGGCCUGCGUCCGAUUAGCUGGUUGGUGGGGUAACGGCCUACCAAGGCGACGAUCGGUAGCCGGUCUGAGAGGAUGAACGGCCACAUUGGGACUGAGACACGGCCCAGACUCCUACGGGAGGCAGCAGUGGGGAAUCUUCCGCAAUGGGCGCAAGCCUGACGGAGCAACGCCGCCGUGAGUGAGGAAGUUCUUCGGAACGUAAAGCUCUGUUGUUCCUGACGAACCUCCCCUCUAUCAACAACGGAGGGGACUGACGGUAGGGAACGAGGAAGCCACGGCUAACUACGUGCCAGCCGCCGC
rnacentral:rRNA from 1 species